rnacentral:misc_RNA from 1 species
AGAAAAUUGAAUUUUUCCACUAGAGGGAAACAAGUCAGGACGACCACAAGCUCCUAGCCCCAUCUGGAAGACAAGAACUAAACUAAUUUAUGAGCAGCUGUAGCUGCUUCUCCUAGUCAUCAAUGGCGUUAUCUUCAGUUUCUUCGAGUUGGGUUUCUUCAACCUUAUCCCAAAAGGUGUCAUUGUCAGUCUCCUGUGAACAUUCCGUUCCUACUUCUACUUUGACUACAUAUUCUCUCCUAAUCCCUAGAUAUUCAAUUUUUCUCUGUUUCCAGUUAAACGUCCCUUGCUCAAAUGAAUUGCCUCGAACCAUUCCAUUAGCUAGUCGUAACUCCGUUUCAUGCACUACAGAAGCAACUUUCAAUGAAGAGAUCUCCUUUAUUUCAUUGUUUAUUCUCUGAUGGGCGCUGUUUUAGGAUUGGGAAAUCAUGUUUUGGAAAAAAAACCCUAAUAAGUUUAACCUCAAUUUUUGAGUUCACAAUAAAUUUCUCACUGACCAUUUUGGAAUUUGAAUAGUGCAAGAAGUUGAUGGUUGGAUAUUGUGAAUUUUCCUUUCAACACGUUCUUUCUUAUUAUCCCUUUUGAAUAUUAUUUUGGUAGAGAGAAUUAAUCGCUUUUUUUCUUUUUUUGGGUACUGAAACACCAAUUCCAGAGGAAACUCUUUAAUGUGAACUUCGUAAUGGGAUUUUGGAACAAAAACUAAAUACAUGUUGGUUUUGGAUGUAAAAAAUUGCACUAUAGAUAACCAUCUUUUUAUUGCCCUUCUCUUGUGAUUCACAAUCCCAAUUUCCUUUAGACAAUUGCAGGAGAAGACUGCCACUGUUAGGAGUUGGAGCACUGACAACAAGUUUAUUCCCAGCAAAUCUCCUUUUUGCUGAAGGUAUAUUGGUCUAUCUACAUUUACAGUAUGGAAAUUAUCUAAAUGUAUAGAAUAUAAACUCUUGCUAACUGGGAUUGAUUUAGUUGAUGUAUGUAAAAGUUAAUUACAGUGGAGGUCCUGAGUUUGAUCCCCAGUCUUCUCCCCAUAGAACCCAAAUAAAAUAAUAAUAACCAAGAAAAAAAAAAGGAAAUGUUUUAUAUGCAGAUUAUUAGAAUAUUGUGAUUUACAUGUAAACCAUUCCUAUCACAACUGUGUCAUAUUUUGGCAUUGUGUAGAGGUACCAAAGAACUAUCGAAUUUUCGCUGACUCAAAGAUGGAUAUUCAUAUUACUAACCCUCAGAUUGGAUAGUAAGUUGUGCUCUAAUUUUAUUAUAUGGAAAUAUGACUUUUAGCUGAUAAAACUCAGAGCAAUGUCUUGUCCAUUGCUUAGGAUUUUGAUUUCAGGGGGCAUGAUUCCACAUUUAAGGGCCGAGUCCUACAAUUACAGAAUGUUAAGUGAGAUUCAUACCAACUGAUAAAAAAGAUAUUCAUGAUUUGGGACCAAUGGAACAGGUUAUAUCUGAUUUAGUGAAACAUGUGUAUGCUGCACCAAAUCAAAGGCCAACUAUAAUAGACGUGGAGGAGGUUGAUACUGAUGAUGCCUAUUGAUACUAAGUUUUUGGUCCUCAGCCUGUUGGAUUUUUUCCCCCUGUACUGAUGAUGAUCAUCGCAUCUGGCCAAUUCAGAAACAAACCUUUUAUUUCUGAUAGAUUAACUAUCUAGUCGUACUGAACCUCUUAAUUCUAGCUGACUGACCAUAUCCUAUAUGAAGUCUCUACCUGCUCUUUGCUGCCAUUUGUAAAUGAAUGGCAAUUAACAGUAGCCAGAGAAAUAAAAUCUAAAGCAAAUUAUAGGUAAACAAGAAAAAUGAGGUUCAAAGGUAGCAUCUGAUUAGUUAAUUGUAAACAGCAUGUGUUGCUGUUGUGAGUAAAUAGAAUGACUUUCAUGCUGAGAAUUUCUUUUUAUGGCCGUCUCCUAAAUGCAGCGAUCUGUAGACGGGAAAAACUAUUACACCUUCGAAUAUGAGCUGACAUCUCCAAACUACUCGAGCACUUCCUUUGCAACCAUAGCAAUAGGCAAUGGUAAGCUUCCUACCAUCUUAAAAUGAGUAUUGACCUAGAACAUCAUAGCAAGCCCCACCAACUAGUUUAUUUCAGAUCAUAGGAUAUGGAAUUUGUGAACUUCUUAUUCUCUAGAUCUCGUGUUUAGAUGUAAAAGAGCCUCCUUUAAAUUCUGCACUGGGCUAACUGUACUUGGAUGCCAUUCUGUACAGGGAGAUAUUACACCUUGAUUGUGGGAGCAAAUGAAAGACGAUGGAAAAGAGUUCGCAACAAGCUUAAAGUGGUAGCAGACUCUUUCAAGAUGCUUGAUAUCUUAACUAAUCCAGAAUGGAAGAAACAAUGGCAUUGAUUGUAAAUACUUGGUUGAAAAUUUUCUGUUAUGAUCUCCUCAGAUGCCCAUCACCUCCACAUCCCUUAGCUGUGAGACUAAUGUAUCUUUCUUUAUCUUUCUUUCAUGCUGCUAGCUAAACACUGUGCAUUUCUUGGAAAUCAUAUCGCAUGGUUGUUGUCAACUGAAAACUCUGCUUACUUCCUUGCCCUUUUUUCUGGUAAACUAGCUUUCAUUCACUAAAAUUAAGUUCUCUCUUCCAACAAUCUCAAGUGUACAUACUUCCAAACAUAGUCAAGCCCUAAUUGAUAAGUGAGCUCUCA